GCUCCAUGAGCCGUAAAAGGUAAACCCAUUCAUUUGUCAAUUCUUAACAUAAAAUGUUCGGAGCUCAAAGUGUGUGUUUUUAUUUCGUAGUUUUUCUGGCCUUGGUUGCGGGCCGGCCCAAAUUGGGAUCAAGAUCUUUAAAGAUUUCUAAACAGGAUUAUAAUAAUAGGUUACAAGACGUUGACAAAAUGCCACUUUUAGGCACUGAAGCAAAAACCGCUACUGAAACUCAAUCAUCCUCUGAAGUAACUAACGAAAUCUCAAGAGAAGUUUCUUCUGAGGUCACCACCGAAGCUUCAUUAUCCUCAACCACAACUAGGAAAAAAGGCAGCACCAAAUUUAGUACAGAACCACCCAAAACCACGCAGACUACUAAGGUCACCACCCGAAAGACCACUACCAUGACAAAUAAAAAUUCAUCCAAAAGGCCAAACGAUGAAAUGAGCACCACUGUCGAGGUCACCACUGACCAGCAAGGCUCCAGCGAACAGACUACUGAGGUCACCACCGAGAAAUCCAGCAGUACAACAAGUCAAUUAACCACUGAAUCAAAUGAAGAUUCAGAAGAUUCAGAAGAAGAUUAUUACAAUGAAGGAGAAGAUUAUUAUAAUGAACACUACGAUGAUUAUAACUAUGUUUCCUGCGAAGACUAUGCCUACUAUGAUAAUUGCUAUGACUAUUACUCUUAUUAGACAAAACAUCAUUUUAAAUUUUGUCAAAACGGAAUAUGAUCGAAUAUGAAAUAUAACUGAAAUGGCUUUAAAAAGGUAUUAGUGGAAUUUUAUUCGAAAAAGUGAAUCAUUAUUUUUAACACAAUGUUUUUCAGUUUUUUAAGAGAUUUUCUUCUUGAAAGACAUUGUUUUUUAUUUCUUUAAUUUUUAAAGUUAAAAUGUUCACAAAUUAUUUGAGGAAGAUUAUUACGCUGAAUACUACGAUUAUAAUAUUUAUUGUUCCUUCUAAAACUACAACAAUUACAAAAAUUAUUAGUACUACUUUUCUUAAACAAAAUAUCAUUUUAAUUUUUGUCAAAACGGAAUUAAAUCGAAUUUGAAAUUUAACUGAAAUUUUAAAAUAGGCAAAAAUUAUGUUGUGUUUUCUAUAUAUCCUUGCGUUUUUUAUCCUUCUGAUAACUAUAAAGCUUUACCCAUGCCCAAAGCUCCUAUAGAAAUGGCGUUGGCCACCGAACCAGACAUGGACUAUCCUGACAUUGAUCUUUGGGAGAAUUAAGUGAACAUUCUCUACUGCUGCUUUUUUCGCUACAUAUCAUCCCGGUUGGCCGCAUAUUUGGAGCAAAAAUUUUAAUUAAAACAAACAAUAUGUUACCUAAAUUGUUGUUGCUGCAUCUGGGGCCAUGGAAUGCUGUACAAAAUUGCAGUGUUUUUGGGGCCACAGGCCGCGGCGAAGCAAGUUGUUGUUAAUGCAUUUACUCGGCUUAAUUAGUUGAGAUUUUACAUUAUUCAUACGCCACGUGUGACCAGCGGCCACCCACUUGACGCGCACCCAGUGUGCUGAUAUGCCUGCCGUUUCCUUCUUUUCCUGACAGCAUCAUAAUUUUCACUUAAUUAAAGUUGUCGUUGUUGUGGGUGCUGAGUUUGAGGUUAGUCCGCCGAGAAGCUAAAGAGUUUUCGAGAUGCACUCGGGUAUAAAGUUAGAAGGAAGCGCUGCAAUAGUUUGGGAAUGUUUGGAUGGUAGUUUGAAGUGUUCAUGUCUAUGUUAAACGAAAAUGAAAAUUAAUCUGAGAGGGAGAGAAAGCUUGUUAUUAAACAUUUUAUGGGCUUAACAAAUACUGGAGAAAUUCAAGAAAAAAAAAACCGUAUUUGCUUAAAAAAAUAAAUAUUAAAAAGAG